rnacentral:rRNA from 1 species
CUUACCAGGUCAAGACAUGGGCGUGAUUGACAGGCUAAUGACUUUUCUCGAUUCCAUGGAUGGUGGUGCAUGGUCGCACUUAGUUGGUGCAGUGAUUUGUCAGGUUUAUUCCGGUAACGAACGAGACCUCGGCCUUGUAAAUAGCUAUGCUGCUUACAGGGACAUUGGCGGCUACGCCAAGGAAGCUCGAGGCAAUUGCAGAUCUGGAAUGCCCUUAGAUGUCCUGGGUCGCACGCGUGCUACAAUGACGCCACGAACGAGCUUGCGUGAUGAAAGUUACGCAUAAUCAGCAGUCGGCGUCUUAAGGGAUAGUCUCUUGUAACUGUGGGACUCCAACUAGGAAUGUCUCGUAAGCACAAGUCAACAUCUUGUGUUGAUUACGUCCCUGCUCUUUGUACACACCGCCCGUCGCUCCUACCGAUCGAGUGUUUAGGUGAAUUUGAUGGACGUAAGGAAGUCAAAUAAACCUGAGCACUAGAGGAAGGAGAAGUCGAACCUGA